CAAAACAGUAGUGUCAUUCCUUCGGUGCAUUUUUCAACUGCCCAGCAUCGACUCCACUCCAUUCUUGAAUGGGAAUCGCCGUUUCUCUAAUUUGAUUUUGCUAUCCCACGAGGGUAUUGCCAAACCCAGCAAUGAAGAGCAAUUCUUGGCGGCAGAAAGAGCUCAUAUUUCUCGUUCUUUACGCUCUCGUUUUCUACAUAGUUGUCAUUCGUCGCUCUCUCCGCCUUUCCCACGAUCAUUACGCCAAGCUUAAUGGUUUACGCGCCGGCUGGAUUGCUGGUCGACUUAACGACAUCUCUGAUUCCCAAUGGAGAAAUUUUAGGGGAAACAUAACAAUACUCUCUGUAGUUUUCGGGAUCUUUACGUCGAUUGCAAAUGUGCUUAGAAAAGUAUUUUGUUUGAAAGCGAAUGGGAUGUCUAUGGUCUGGCUUUUGAUUUCUUUGGCUUAUCUGUCUUAUCUGCACGAAGCCUGCAUCAUAUUCGUCAUCUGUAUUGCUUCAGCUAAUUUUUUCCUUGUGAAGAUAUUGGGAGGGACAAAAUGCUUCUCAAUCGUGCUUUGGGGUUUUAACUUAUCAUUUCUUGUAUGCAAUCGUAUUUAUGAGGGAUAUCAAUUCUCCAGUUUUGGCUGGGCUUACUUGGAUAAUUUUCGAGGCACCUUCAGAUGGCAUAUCUGUUUUAACUUUGUUGUUCUGCGAAUGAUAAGCUUUGGGUAUGACUACCAUUGGGCUGAUCAAUGUCAUCGUAUUGAUGAAGAGAAGCAUAUUCAGCGUUGCAGCUAUUGCUCAUCAAGCAAGACAUGCUAUCUGCUCUUACAGGAGAGAAGAGUUGCAAACGACAAGUUCACAUUUCCAAUUUACUUGUCGUAUUUGUUCUAUGCACCUCUUUACAUUGCUGGACCGAUUAUCAGCUUCAAUGCAUUUGCUUCACAGUUGGAUUCACCCCAGAACAUGUACUCAUCCCGAGAAGUGGCUUUGUAUGGGAUUCGUUGGGUUUUUAGUCUUUUCCUAAUGGAAUUGAUGACCCAUUUCUUCUACUAUAAUGCCUUUGCUAUUAGUGGUAUGUGGAGGCAACUGUCUCCCAUGGAUGUCUUCAUUAUUGGUUAUGGGGUUCUAAACUUCAUGUGGCUGAAAUUUUUUCUGAUGUGGCGCUACUUCCGAUUCUGGUCGCUGGUUAAUGGCAUUGUGGCUCCUGAGAAUAUGCCAAAGUGUGUGAACAACUGCCACAACUUGGAAAAUUUUUGGAAAAAUUGGCAUGCUUCAUUCAACAAAUGGCUUGUUAGGUAUAUAUAUAUACCUCUUGGGGGUUCUCACAAGAAAAUACUGAACGUUUGGGUAAUCUUCACCUUUGUUGCUGUCUGGCAUGACUUAGAGUGGAAGCUUCUUUCUUGGGCUUGGUUGACAUGUAUAUUUUUCAUUCCUGAAAUGCUUCUAAAAUCAGCAGCGAAUGCCUUUCAGGUUAAAGGUGCUUCUGGGGAAUUUUUUUUCCGUGAACUUAGUGCUAUAGCUGGUGCAGUAACUAUAACCUGUUUAAUGGUUGCCAAUCUUGUAGGAUUUGUAAUUGGGCCAUCCGGCAUUAAUUGGUUGGUUUCUGUCUUCCUCAAAAGAGAAGGUUUGCCCACACUUGGCUGGUUGUUACUUUCGUUUUAUAUUGGAACCAAGCUUAUGUUUCACAUCUCUGAUGCCAAGCAACGGAAGGACCAGAGAAAUCGAUAACAUCAAGGUCUUCACUUUGUCUAGCUUCAUAUCUUCUUAUGAGCAAGUUCAAUGAUGUACUCUGCAGGUGCUGACAUGACAUGAAUGCGCACUAUGUUACUUUCUUGAGACUCUGGUUUUUGACAUUCCGUUGGAAUACAGUGGACAGGUCUGUUAACAUAGAAAUCAGGUACUUAUUAUUGGUGGAACGGGAAUGGAAAUUUAUAUGCGAUCGCUCAUUGCUGCUCAUCGAUUAAUAUUCAUUGCAUUGCAUUGCAUUGCAUCUUAUCUUAAGAGAGUUUGGUAUGAUGGCGUUGUUUAUUAUAGUGAGUCGUUUUAAGAGUAGAAUAGAAUGAGAUAUGGUUCUGCCAGGUAAGGUUGCUUUGGAGACACUGAUCCACAUAGAAUUUCCUCAUCUAAAACUUACUUCAUUUGGAAUGAAUUCUUGGACAUCCCUUUGAAGAAUUGUCUGUCUCUAUAUAUCCCUAUCAUCGUAAGCAGCAAUUUGUUAUGUUAUCAUGUCGUCAUCAUUGUCCUUGUUCUUUCCUGAAAUCAAUGGACAGCUCGUUCUUGUUAGCUUGAUCUGAUCUUUUGUGGUUUUUCUUCUGCAACAUACAUAUAUACAUCAGAAUACCAUGUUUGUUCAACUUGUAUCCUUUUUGGGACAUUAUUUAUGUUGGUUUGCUGCUUUAAGGUUUUCCAAAUAUGUAU